rnacentral:rRNA from 1 species
GACGAACGCUGGCGGCGUGCCUAACACAUGCAAGUCGAGCGAGUGAAUCUCCUUCGGGAGUGAAGCUAGCGGCGGACGGGUGAGUAACACGUGGGCAACCUGCCUCAUAGAGGGGAAUAGCCUCCCGAAAGGAAGAUUAAUACCGCAUAAGAUUGUAGCUUCGCAUGAAGUAGCAAUUAAAGGAGCAAUCCGCUAUGAGAUGGGCCCGCGGCGCAUUAGCUAGUUGGUGAGGUAACGGCUCACCAAGGCGACGAUGCGUAGCCGACCUGAGAGGGUGAUCGGCCACAUUGGGACUGAGACACGGCCCAGACUCCUACGGGAGGCAGCAGUGGGGAAUAUUGCACAAUGGGGGAAACCCUGAUGCAGCAACGCCGCGUGAGUGAUGACGGCCUUCGGGUUGUAAAGCUCUGUCUUCAGGGACGAUAAUGACGGUACCUGAGGAGGAAGCCACGGCUAACUACGUGCCAGCAGCCGCCGCGG